GAGCUCUGCUGGAGUUUUGUGGGUGAGCCCAGGAUAGGGGUGUCAGCUUGUGGAGGAAGCAACUCCAGAAUGACAAAGCUUGAAAAAUGAAGCUGACAACUGAAACCAGAGCCUUUGCUGAAGUUCUGAAGAGCCAUACCACGAAACAAGGAAAGCAGAAAGCAGCUGUUGGCAUUUCUACUUAAGAGGAAGCCCUUGAAGCCCUGACUCAAGAUCCAGUUGCAUCACCCUCAUCUGCAGAGGCUUCUCUGUCUCAGAGAAGUCACCCCAGGGGAAGGCAAAUCAACCUCUAGACAGGGUAAAUGUACUUGCUGUUCUCUGUUCUGAGCCUGCAUACUGAAAAGUUGUCUUCCAAGCAGUUUUUAUCCGCACCGAGUUCUUCAUUCUGCCCACCACCUGUAACAAGAGAUGACACCCCAAACAACCUCAUUUUAAGUAUCAUUCAACAACAAUCCCUUUGGCGAGAAGCACUGAGUUUCAGCUGCUACAAAUUUGAUUUCAGUACUCCAAACGCUCUAGAAUAGAGCAGAUACUGCAGAGCAACAGCUGCAGACUGAGCCAGCCUACUUGCUUGCUGUUCAGAUGGAGAAGCAAUACACCACAGUGAAAGGUGAAGCUCACACUCAGCCCCACUGACCAGAGAAGGAGCAGCAGCUGCUAUCACACACUUCACACAACAGAAGGCAGAGACAGCCAAAGACACGAGGGAACACCUCUGGGCUUAAGUGAUGUUAAAAGAGGAGCUGGAUAUUCUGUUAUCUGUGCCUCACGCCAUUCAGCAAACAUUCAGAUAUGGCGAUUACUUACCAAAAUAAGUGGAAGUGGCCACUCUGUCAGGGGAAGUUUGCAGCCAUGCAAUCCUAUACGUCAGAAGGUGUUGUUUCAGAUAUUUGCUCGAAUCAGAAGAAAACUGAAGGCCGGUUUUUAUUUACUCCAGACUCUUCUUUUGGUUUCUGCAAUUGUCCCUCAGUGAUUGGAAAGAUUGCUUUGAACAAUGUGAGGGCAGCUGUGGGACUUAUCUCAAAUACUUCCAAUUGUUUAUUUUUUUACAAGUUCUAUUUCUUGUCCAACAUUUUUUUUAGUGCUCUAGCACUCAGUAAGAGUUAUAGUGUUAAAAUAAAUCUGGAUUAAGCAAACAGCUCGAUUUGAAUAGUAAACACAGACACCCUUCCUGCUAGCUCAGCUCAAUGAUCAUAGUUUAAAUGAUCAAAGCACACAGGCUAAAAAUAGGAAACUCUGCUCACAAGUUUAAUUGCCUUCAUCGAGCAAGAAGCAGACUACUGAAGUUCACUGCUAUGCUGUUAGUGCAGUGGGAAAGAGAAGCAUGCCAGCAAGGUGAGAAGCAAGGCAGAGAAGCUGGGCAGCACAGACAGCAUGCUGGUACACCAGUGGCCGGUGGAGGUGGCCACACACAGCAAUUCUGGGCUACAGCAUCACAUCGGGCCCUGCUCCCCUCUCAGCCAUGCUGCCCUGGGGUCAGCUAGCUUUAACCUGUCUCCUGAGAAGGUUCAGCUGUUUUGCCAGCUGCCCUGGGCUGCUGACUUGCCCUGCUCCCCACCUCAUCCUCCCAGUUCUUCCAGCCUCCUCGCUGCUGUGGCUGAUGGACAGAAUUACACACCCUGCAGCCCAAGGAUCAAUCCCAAGAAAACUUCCUACGUGUUUUGCUGCCUACUGAGCUGGUUUGCGAUACAUCUGAUACAAACUCUGUUUGCAAUGCAAACCUUUAGAACAAACCAAAGCACAACAUCAAGAGCUUUGGAGAAACAAUUCUACCACUUCCACCAAUGAAGAUGCAAUCUUGAUAAACUUGCCACAUUUUAUACCCUGCCUUCCAAAGGA